GUGAGACUCUCUCUUUCCCCCCUUCCUUACCGUUUCGAUUUCUGUUUGUUUCGCUAGAAAAUUUGGCUAAACAAAUGAUAAAAUUUGCACUCUUUCAUCCUUAAUACUUUGUUGGUUGUAUGUGACGUUCUCUAUAUCUCUUUCUAUUUCUUUUUGUUCAGCCACAUUUUGCUUGGAUCUGUCAGAUUUUUAUCAAUUAGGGUAGAUGUUCAUAAAAAGAGCUUAGAUUGUGCGGAUAUGGUUUGUUUGUCUAAUUUGGGAAUUUAUAUUAUUUUAUGGUAAUUAUGUUGUUAAAUUAAGGUGGUUCUUCUUUGAAAUGAAUGAUUUUUGCAAUGUUGAGUUUCUCUUUUCUUUUUUGACGGAUACUAUUUGCAGAACCUAGGCUUUCUCAGAUAAAAGUUCUAAUUGAGAUAAUGGGUCGUGGAGUAAGCAGU
rnacentral:misc_RNA from 1 species